rnacentral:rRNA from 1 species
CAGUAGCCGCGGUAAUACAGAGGGUGCAAGCGUUAAUCGGAAUUACUGGGCGUAAAGCGCGCGUAGGUGGUUUGUUAAGUUGGAUGUGAAAUCCCCGGGCUCAACCUGGGAACUGCAUCCAAAACUGGCAAGCUAGAGUAUGGUAGAGGGUGGUGGAAUUUCCUGUGUAGCGGUGAAAUGCGUAGAUAUAGGAAGGAACACCAGUGGCGAAGGCGACCACCUGGACUGAUACUAACACUGAGGUGCGAAAGCGUGGGGAGCAAACAGGAUUAGAUACCCCGGUAGUCCCUGUCUCUUAUAC